rnacentral:lncRNA from 1 species
GGCUAUGCCUCAAUUGAUAAAGUGAACUAAUUGCCUACUUCAAAAGCAGUUUUGCAUGAAAGUCAACAUCUAAUUGGAAUUUACAAUGCCCGAUAUUUCUACACAUCUGCCACAAAUUUUAUGGAAAACAAUAUUUAUAGAAACUGAACAUACCUUGGUUAAACGUAUAUGAAAUGGGUAACCAUCCUCGAAGAACAUCAACCAGCUGUCGGCAAUGUGCAGGUGGACUGAGGAAUUUUCCGGUGUGUCCUUUAUGGACUGUACUCCGUCUUAGCACUAUCCUCAAUGUCGCUGAUCUGCACUACCAGCUCGUUCAACGUUACUGACCACAAAGUAAUCCGACAAUCAGAUCGGACCUGGUCAUGUUAGAAUCCAGAGGUAGGAAAUGAACAUACAAUCGACUCCGCAUCGAUGCAUGACCUCGCCCGGAACGCGUCAAGAAUUAACAAUGGAAGAAAAUACUACAGACGUGUUUAUUAACAAUAAAGUUAUUUUUGUUUUUAUGAAAUAGCGAUUGAAUAAAAAUAUUAGGUAUAUGAGUUUUAUUUAGAGAUGAAA